UACAGAGGUCUCAAGCGUUGUUCGGAUUCGUUGGGCGUAAAGGGUGCGUAGGCGGCGCGGAAAGUUGGGUGUGAAAGCCCUCGGCUCAACCGAGGAAUUGCGCCCAAAACUACCGUGCUUGAGGAAGACAGAGGUGAGCGGAACUCAGGGUGGAGCGGUGAAAUGCGUUGAUAUCCUGAGGAACACCGGUGGCGAAAGCGGCUCACUGGGUCUUUUCUGACGCUGAGGCACGAAAGCUAGGGUAGCGAACGGG
rnacentral:rRNA from 1 species